AGAGUUUGAUCCUGGCUCAGAGCGAACGCUAGCGGCGUGCCUAACACAUGCAAGUCGUGCGAGAAAGUUACCUUCGGGUGGCGAGUAGAGCGGCGAAUGGGUGAGUAACGCGUGGAUAACCUGCCUAUAGGUUUGGAAUAACCCCCCGAAAGGGGAGCUAAUGCCGAAUGAGACCACAGGGUUUAGGUUCAGUGAUUAAAGGUGGGGAUCCUUCGGGAGCCUAUCGCCUGUAGAGGGGUCCGCGUCCCAUCAGCUAGUUGGUAGGGUAAUAGCCUACCAAGGCUAAGACGGGUAGCUGGUCUGAGAGGACGAUCAGUCACACUGGCACUGAAACACGGGCCAGACUCCUACGGGAGGCAGCAGUGGGGAAUCUUGCGCAAUGGGCGAAAGCCUGACGCAGCGACGCCGCGUGAGGGAAGAAGGCUCUCGGGUCGUAAACCUCUGUCAGGAGGGAAGAAAUAUCUAGUGGUUAAUACCCAUUAGGUUUGACGGUACCUCCAGAGGAAGCAUCGGCUAACUACGUGCCAGCAGCCGCGGUAAUACGUAGGAUGCAAGCGUUGCUCGGAAUUACUGGGUGUAAAGAGCGUGUAGGUGGCCAGAUAAGUCAGUGGUGAAAGCCCUCGGCUCAACCGGGGAACUGCCAUUGAUACUGUCUGGCUUGAGUACGGGAGAGGAAAGGGGAAUUCCUGGUGUAGCGGUGAAAUGCGUAGAUAUCAGGAGGAACACCGGUGGCGAAGGCGCCUUUCUGGACCGAUACUGACACUGAGACGCGAAAGCGUGGGGAGCAAACAGGAUUAGAUACCCUGGUAGUCCACGCCCUAAACGAUGGGCACUAGGUGUGGGAACUUUUAGAGUUUCCGUGCCGAAGCUAACGCAUUAAGUGCCCCGCCUGGGAAGUACGAUCGCAAGGUUGAAACUCAAAGGAAUUGACGGGGGCCCGCACAAGCGGUGGAGCAUGUGGUUUAAUUCGACGCUACGCGAAAAACCUUACCUAGGCUUGACAUCCGGAGAACGCCCUGGAAACAGGGAAGUGCCUUCGGGAGCUCCGUGACAGGUGCUGCACGGCUGUCGUCAGCUCGUGCCGUGAGGUGUUGGGUUAAGUCCAGCAACGAGCGCAACCCCUACCCCUAGUU
rnacentral:rRNA from 1 species